UGGAACUCUUUGGUCAAUAAAGAAGUUGAUUUUAGUUUUGGAUGAUGUACAAAUACCUAUUUUCUCAAAUACUUUGAGAGUAUAGCAGAUCAUCAAAGUGUGGAACUUAGCAAUCCAGCGUCGUUGAAAGGAAUGUUUUGCGUAAACGAAGGCUUGUGAUUGAUGCUGAGUGUUGUGACUGUCAAAUUAUUAAUCUCCACUUCUGCUUUGCCUGCCUUUUGGAAAAAGAUAACCCAUCGUGCAAGCAUUGUAUGUAACUCCUGAAAGGAUUGUGGGAAACUCAUCAUUUCUCGAGAUAUUGAAACGCUUGCAUAGAAAGGUAUUGUUUCUGAUGCACCAUAACUUUUUCUAAAAGGUUCUUUGUAAACUUUUUAUUUUCGACCAUCAUGCAUUGCAGGCACAACUAGCUGGUUUUGUUGUUGAUGAGGCUCAUUGCGUGAGUCAAUGGGGACAUGAUUUUCGUCCAGAUUAUAGGGGACUGGGAUGUCUCAAGCAGAACUUUUCGUAUGUCCUAGAGAUGGCCUUAACUGCAACUGCCACUCGGUCAGUUCAUAAGGUACUAGACUUACACAUUAACCUCCUGAUUAUGUUGAAAUAAUCUGUUUGCUUUUAUUGAAGUAUACAUCCAUUGCAUGAUAUCCUAAAAGCUCUUGGGGUUCCCCAUGCUCUUGUUCUUGAGACAAGCUUUGACAGACCAAAUCUAAAAUAUGAGGUAAUAGCUAAGACCAGGGAACCACUGAAGCAACUUGGAGAGCUGCUAAAGAAUAGUUUUGCUAAUUUUUGUGGCAUAAUAUAUUGCCUUUCAAAGAGUGAAUGUGUUGAUGUCGCAAAAUACUUGAAUGAGACAACGGUGUACUAUCAUGCUAGAUUAGCAGCCCGUCAAAGAGUAGCUGUUUAAAAGAAAUGGCAUAUUGGAGAGGUCCAGAUUGUAUGUGAUACCAUUGCCUUUGGGAUGGGAAUAGACAAACCUGAUGUUGUAAGUCGAAAUGGACCCUGGCUUCUGCCUAUUUCUUAUGUUUUAGAAUCAAGCUGACGUGCUGGCAAAUACUCGGCUAAUAAACUUUUCUUCUUUUGUUUUAGCUUCACUGAUGGGUUUCAUAGUGUGCUUGAAAGUACACUUUGGUGGUUCCAUGGUCCAGUGACCUACCAAAUUUUGUCAUUCUUGGCUAUUGAUUGCAGAAACUAUUAAAUUAUGUAUGGGUUCAAGUCAAAUUCUUUCUACCAUGCAUGGAACUUUGCUGUGCUGUAAUAAAGUUAGAUUUGGUUAAAGCUCUUUUCUUUAUUGUAAAAGCGGCAAAUGACUCUGAUUUAACUUGACCUUCAGUUAUAAUAUUUUUGUCAUAUUUCGACUUGUUUUCGUUUGUUCAGCAAUUAUUUUUUUAUGGCGUGUGGUCAGCGUUUUGUCAUCCACAACAAAAUAUCCAAGUCAAUCGAAAGCUAUUAUCAAGAAUCAAAAGGGCAGGAAGAGAUAAUCUAUCGGCAGUAUGCAUUGCUCUAUAUGCCAAAACGGAUUUCAGCAAGGUUGUGUGCAUGUUAAGGAGUGGUCAAUAAUGUAAAACUGAAAUCUUUAAAACUGCAAUGGCUCAAGCUAGGAAAAUGCAGCAAUAUUGUGAACUCAAGGUAAUCCAAUUUGUGUUCUCAACUUCUCUCUAAUGAUCUCAACUAAGUGAUGCUUCUAUUUUGUGUUUCCACUUUCCACUUUGUUUUAUUGAUUAGUCUGGCAUUAACCGGUCUGGGUGCUGGAUCAUUAGAUGGGUCUGUUGGCAACAUGUUCAAAUCAUAAUGGAACCUUUGGGCUAAACUCAUAUUCCAUGUACCUGGAUGGAGCAAAGUCUAUUGACAAACGUGUGUUUACACGAAUUUGCGAAAUUUUCAGGAUGAGUAUCGGUGGCAAACCUUACUUGCACACUUUGGCAAGUCUUUGGAUUAGAAAGACUGUAAAUACGGUUCUAAUCCUUGCGACAAUUGCCUCAAAACCUCUUCAUAAAGGUAAACCUUUCAGGUGUAAACUCUCUCGAUGGGUGACAGGUACUGACUUACACAUGUUCUUGAGCCACACAGUUCUUCUGGUUCCAUCAUCUGCAAUUAUUGGAAGACCACAUGGUAAUGGAGAGGCAAAGGUCCUUAACUAAGGAUACAGAAUUCUUCAGUUGUGCUGGUCUUGUCAUCUCAUGUUUAUCUUUUCCUUUCAUCUGUUGCCAUGUUCUUUGUCUGGAACUAAUUAUUUUUGUGAGGGGAACGAAAAUGUGGCUCGACAUAUAAGCCGAAGAGGCAUAUGGGAACACACAGUCCGGUCUUGACCAAGGAAGAAAAAGUUACUUGUUUUAGUUCAGUGAAGAUUAACAAUGAAAUCCAAUUGUACAAGCA